AUUGAACGCUGGCGGCAGGCCUAACACAUGCAAGUCGAGCGGAUGAAGGGAGCUUGCUCCUGGAUUCAGCGGCGGACGGGUGAGUAAUGCCUAGGAAUCUGCCUGGUAGUGGGGGAUAACGUCCGGAAACGGGCGCUAAUACCGCAUACGUCCUGAGGGAGGAAGUGGGGGAUCUUCGGACCUCACGCUAUCAGAUGAGCCUAGGUCGGAUUAGCUAGUUGGUGGGGUAAAGGCCUACCAAGGCGACGAUCCGUAACUGGUCUGAGAGGAUGAUCAGUCACACUGGAACUGAGACACGGUCCAGACUCCUACGGGAGGCAGCAGUGGGGAAUAUUGGACAAUGGGCGAAAGCCUGAUCCAGCCAUGCCGCGUGUGUGAAGAAGGUCUUCGGAGUGUAAAGCACUUUAAGUUGGGGGGAAGGGCAGUAAGUUAAUACCUUGCUGUUUUGACGUUACCAACAGAAUAAGCACCGGCUAACUUCGUG
rnacentral:rRNA from 1 species